AGGAGUGCUUGAGCAGCAGCAGCCACGAUGAUCAUGGUUUGGACGAGGAGAGGAGCUGAAACUUGCAGCCCGCGUGACUCGUAAUGCAGCCUUGUCUAGGAAAUUUUUUCGAUCAUUGCACUCCUCCAUUUUCUAUGUGAUGUCCUUGAAUUUCAGCUAGAGGGGUUGUCCAAGUUUGUGGCACAGGAGCCAAUUGCCACUGAUCCAGCAGCAGUAGCAAGAUUUCUAGGAGCGAUGGCGAAACAGGAGAAAUUUUUGGCAAAAGCUAUGGUUCCUUGGUGGCUGGGAUCUUACUUUUUGAUUUGAUUUGAAGUUUGCACCUUUCAGGCU